CUUAUCCUUAGUUGCCAUCAAGGUAAUGCUGGGCACUCUAGGGGAGACUGCCUGUGUUAAGCAGGAGGAAGGUGGGGAUGACGUCAAGUCAUCAUGGCCCUUACGCCCGGGGCUACACACGUGCUACAAUGGCCGGUACAAUGGGUUGCAAUGCCGUAAGGUGGAGCCAAUCCCCAAAACCGGUCUCAGUUCGGAUUGGAGUCUGCAACUCGACUCCAUGAAGCCGGAAUCGCUAGUAAUCGCGAAUCAGAAUGUCGCGGUGAAUACGUUCCCGGGCCUUGUACACACCGCCCGUCACACCAUGGGAGUGGGUUGCAAAAGAAGUGGGUAGACUAACCUUCGGGAGGUCGCUCACCACUUUGUGAUUCAUGACUGGGGUGAAGUCGUAACAAGGUA
rnacentral:rRNA from 1 species